rnacentral:tRNA from 1 species
GUGGGUGUAGCUCAGUGGCAGAGGGCCUGCCUAGCAUGCACAAAGUCCUGGGUUCAGUUCCCCGCACCUCCA